rnacentral:rRNA from 1 species
GAUCAGAUCAAGCGCGAGAAGGGCGUUUGGUGGAUGCCUUGGCAGCAAGAGGCGAUGAAGGACGUGAUACUCUGCGAUAAGUCAUGGGGAGCUGAGAAUAAGCUUUGAUCCAUGAAUCUCCGAAUGGGGCAACCCACCUGACAGUUUGAUAUAAUAGUCUUCGGACUGCUUAUAUCUGGCUGAACCAGGUACUUUUAACCUGAACACAUAGGGUUUUAAGAGCAAACCCGGGGAACUGAAACAUCUAAGUACCCGGAGGAAAGGAAAUCAAUAUGAUACUCCCCUAGUAGUG